GUGAGUCAUCGAAUCUUUGAACGCACAUUGCGCCCAUUGGUAUUCCAUUGGGCAUGUCUGUUUGAGCGUCAUUACAACCCUCGGUCACCACCGGUUUUGAGCAAGCGAGGUCUCCGGACCCGGCUGGCUUUAAAGUUGUAAGCUCUGCUGGCUGCCAGGCCCAACCAGAACAUAGUAAAAUCAUGCUUGUUCACGGUUUGCGGUCGAAGCGGUACGGCCUGAACAAUACCUACCACCUCUUAGGUUUGACCUCAGAUCAGACAAGGAUACCCGCUGAACUUAAGCAUAUCAAUAAGCGGA
rnacentral:misc_RNA from 1 species